rnacentral:rRNA from 1 species
CCUACGGGAGUCAGCAGUGGGGAAUAUUGCACAAUGGGGGAAACCCUGAUGCAGCGACGCCGCGUGAGUGAAGAAGUAAUUCGGUAUGUAAAGCUCUAUCAGCAGGGAAGAAAAUGACGGUACCUGAGUAAGAAGCCCCGGCUAACUACGUGCCAGCAGCCGCGGUAAUACGUAGGGGGCAAGCGUUAUCCGGAUUUACUGGGUGUAAAGGGAGCGUAGACGGCAGUGCAAGUCUGGAGUGAAAGGCGGGGGCUCAACCCCCGGACUGCUCUGGAAACUGUACGGCUGGAGUGCAGGAGUGGUAAGUGGAAGUCCUGGUGUAGCGGUGAAAUGCGUAGAUAUUAGGAGGAACACCAGUGGCGAAGGCGGCUUACUGGACUGUAACUGACGUUGAGGCUCGAAAGCGUGGGGAGCAAACAGGAUUAGAUACCCGAGUAGUC